CCUACGGGAGGCAGCAGUAAGGAAUAUUGGUCAAUGGAGGCAACUCUGAACCAGCCAUGCCGCGUGCAGGAAGAAGGCCCUAUGGGUCGUAAACUGCUUUUGUACCAGAGAAAACCCGAGUACGUGUACUCGGUUGAUAGUAUGGUAAGAAUAAGCAUCGGCUAACUUCGUGCCAGCAGCCGCGGUAAGACGAAGGAUGCAAGCGUUAUCCGGAUUCAUUGGGUUUAAAGGGUGCGUAGGCGGACUGAUAAGUCAGUGGUGAAAUCUCUCGGCUUAACCGAGAAACUGCCAUUGAUACUGUUAGUCUAGAGUAUAGAUGACGUUGGCGGAAUAUGACAUGUAGUGGUGAAAUACUUAGAUAUGUCAUAGAACGCCGAUUGCGAAGGCAGCUAACGAAACUAUAACUGACGCUGAGGCACGAAAGUGCGGGGAUCAAACAGGAUUAGAUACCCUGGUAGUCCGCACCGUAAACGAUGAUUACUCGUUGUUGGCAAUAUGACCGUCAGCGACCAAGCGAAAGCGAUAAGUAAUCCACCUGGGGAGUACGCCGGCAACGGUGAAACUUAAAGGAAUUGACGG
rnacentral:rRNA from 1 species